CCCUACGGGGUGCAGCAUUCAUUGACCAUUGUGCAGAAGAUGCCUUCGAGGCGGCAGGAGGAGCAGCCGUGGCUCCCACUGUGGGGGAUGAUACCACUGCCAUUGCCGGCGAUAUCCUCGCCAGGCUGGGAAUUGCUGUGGUCGGUAUCGUGGACGGGGACAUCGACCGCCUCGCCGGGAGCCUGACCAUCUUGCCGGGCAGCAUCAUCAUCCGGGUCCGGCCGGGCUACGAUGAUAUCGUGGGAGGGCGGGCAAGAGAAGAGAUCUUCCGGGGUGAGGAUAGGAUCUCUAUCAGCGCCCCUGAUCUGGCGGAUAGGGUGAAUGAAUUGGCGGGAGAGC
rnacentral:rRNA from 1 species